rnacentral:lncRNA from 1 species
UCAAAUAAUAGCAAGGACAUGUAAAAUCUUCUAAACUCUUAAAAUACCAUAGGAUACUUGAUUCAACGACUGGAAAAUUUAUGAAAAUUCUCAUACUGAUAACAUAUAGCAGAAACACUUGAGGCUCUAAAGAGCCUAUGUCGCUCACCUUGGUCUAUGUGCAUAUUAAACAACAUCGUUUUUGUAUGUAAAACUCAUUACAUUAACUGCUUGAUAAACGAAUUAGGUAUUGACAAUUCACUUGGAAACUCAACAUAUACUCUCACGAC